GGCUCAGAUUGAACGCUGGCGGCAGGCCUAACACAUGCAAGUCGAGCGGACCCUUCGGGGUUAGCGGCGGACGGGUGAGUAACGCGUGGGGU
rnacentral:rRNA from 1 species